GACGAACGCUGGCGGCGUGCUUAACACAUGCAAGUCGAACGAUGAAGCCAGAGCUUGCUCCGUGUGAUUAGUGGUUAACCGGUGAGUAAUUCGUGAGCAAUCUGCGCUUGACUGUGGGGUAACUGCGAGAAACUGUAACUAAUACCGGAUACGCCACUUAGGGUCAUCCCAGUGUGUGGAAAGAAUUUCGGUCAAGGCUGGGCCCGCGGCGUAUCAGCUUGUUGGUAGGGUGAUGGCCUACCAAGGCGACGACGGGUAGCGGGCGUGAGAGGGUGACCGGCCACAAUGAGACUGAGAUACGGCCCAGACUCCUACGGGAGGCAGCAGUGGGGAAUAUUGCACAAUGGGCGCAAGCCUGACGCAGCGACGCCGCGUGAGGGAUGACGGCCUUCGGGUUGUAAACCUCUUUCAGCAAGGAAGAAGCGCAAGUGACAGUAGGUGCAGAAGAAGGACCGGCCAAAUACGUGCCAGCAGCCGCAGUAA
rnacentral:rRNA from 1 species